rnacentral:rRNA from 1 species
CUAGCCGUAAACGAUGUCCGCUAGUUGCUUGAGAGUAAUCUUAGGUGACGAAGGUAACCCAUUAAGCGGACCGCCUGGGAAGUACGAUCGCAAGAUUGAAACUCAAAGGAAUUGGCGGGGAGGCGCACAACCAGUGGAGCAUGUGGUUUAAUUCGAUACAAAGCGAAGAACCUUACCUGGGUUUGACAUCCAGCUUUUUCCUGCUUUGGAAACAGAGCAAGGGUCUGCCUUUGGCAGAAAAGGUUGGACAGCUAC